rnacentral:tRNA from 1 species
GGCACGAUGGUAGAGUGGUUAAUACGUAAGACUCGAAAUCUUAUUCCUUCGGGAGCGCAGGUUCAAGUCCUGCUCGUGUCG